UGUGUGUAGAAGGCAUUUCUUUGUUUAAGUAUAUCAACAUGAGGUCAAGGACUACAUCAUGUUCAAUGCAUGAUCAUCUAAUUACAUUAUCUGAUUGGUCAGUUCUUAAAAUCGGUAAUUAAUAUCAAAUUUCUACAUGUGCUUGGACAUGCGGUCAUUCGCCUUUGUUUUGGGAGAAAGAAAAGAUCGUUUUGAAUUUAUCUGAAAACCCUCCCAUUUCCCUCCCUUUUAAGUGUUAUUAUAUAGGACAUUUAUUUUUUUCUUUAAACAUGAAUUAAUUACAAUAUUCAUGUAUACUUGUUUAUAUAAUUUGUAUAUACAUAUGUUGGUGAGUUAAUUUUUCAACUCACUUUUAUUUUUGUCAUUUUUUUUUUAUGUUUAUUUUGUUACGGUGUGGCACUUUUUCAAC
rnacentral:lncRNA from 1 species